UACGUAGGCAGCAAGCGUUGUUCGGAAUUACUGGGCGUAAAGAGUGUGUAGGCGGUGCUCUAAGAUUGGUGUGAAAUUUCCCGGCUCAACCGGGAGGGUGCAUCGAAGACUGGAGUGCUCGAGGGUGGGAGAGGCAAGCGGAAUUCCUGGUGUAGCGGUGAAAUGCGUAGAUAUCAGGAGGAACACCUGUGGUGUAGACAGCUUGCUGGACCAUUUCUGACGCUGAGACACGAAAGCGUGGGUAGCAAACAGG
rnacentral:rRNA from 1 species